GACGAACGCUGGCGGCGUGCUUAACACAUGCAAGUCGAACGGAAAGGCCCUGCUUUUGUGGGGUGCUCGAGUGGCGAACGGGUGAGUAACACGUGAGUAACCUGCCCUUGACUUUGGGAUAACUUCAGGAAACUGGGGCUAAUACCGGAUAGGAGCUCCUGCUGCAUGGUGGGGGUUGGAAAGUUUCGGCGGUCGGGGAUGGACUCGCGGCUUAUCAGCUUGUUGGUGGGGUAGUGGCUUACCAAGGCUUUGACGGGUAGCCGGCCUGAGAGGGUGACCGGCCACAUUGGGACUGAGAUACGGACCAGACUCCUACGGGAGGCAGCAGUGGGGAAUAUUGCACAAUGGGCGGAAGCCUGAUGCAGAAACGCCGCGUGCGGGACGACGGCCUUCGGGUUGUAAACCGCUUUCGCCUGUGACGAAGCGUGAGUGACGGUAAUGGGUAAAGAAGCACCGGCUAACUACGUG
rnacentral:rRNA from 1 species